AGUGAACGCUGGCGGCGUGCCUAAUACAUGCAAGUCGAGCGGAAGCACGGUAAGAUUGCUCUUCUGCUGUUGGCGGCGGACGGGCGGGUGACACAUAGAUCACCAACUUCUUUUUCUGGGGUGACUUCGUGAGACAACUGAUACUAACAGCUCAUAUUUUCAACCGCUUAGAUCAAAAGUGCUUGACGCUUUUGCUGUCUCUUAUAGCUGGUUCCGCGUUGCAUUAGCUAGUUGGUAAGGUAACGGCCUACCAAGGCGACGAUGCGUAGCCGGCCUGAGAGGGUGAUCGGCCACACUGGAACUGAGACACGGUCCAGACUCCUACGGGAGGCAGCAGUAGGGAAUCUUCCACAAUGGGCGAAAGCCUGACGCAGCAACACCGCGUGAGUGAAGAAGGUCUUCGGGUCGUAAAGCUCUGUUAUUGGGAAAGAACAGAAGUAUGAUUAUCCGUGCACGUCUUGACGGUACCCAAACAGUAAGCCACGGCUAACUACGUG
rnacentral:rRNA from 1 species